rnacentral:lncRNA from 1 species
AUGGAGAAUCACAACAGGAAAAGAAAAGGGAAAUCGCACCACACGCUACCAUUCACCAGAACAGUGGCUUCUGUCUACAAGGAGGCAGUGACUCCCCAGAAGAGACGCCUGACUGAAUAUCUGUGGAAAGCGUCCAGGCACCAGACUCCUGAAGAGCAGUGCUACCCUCCUUCAGGUACCUUCACUGCUCUGAACCAACCAGGCUGGCCCUGAGCAGGAACCAUGAUCCUGAUGGCGUUAGCUAUAUCAUCCCGCUCAGGCCCCCACAACAAUAUACCUCAUAACCGGGUGCCUUAAGCAACAGAAAGCUAUUUUCCCACGAUUCUGAAAGCUGGAGGUCCAAGAUCAAGGUGUUGGCAGGUUUUGUUUCUUCAGCAGUCUUUUUCACUCCUUGGCUUUGGACAGCUGUCUCCUCCCCAUUCCUCCCCCUGGUCUUCCCUCUUCACCUGUCUGUGUCCUAAUCUCCUCUUCUGGAAAGGACACCAGUCAUGUUGGAUUAGGGCCCAUUAUAGGACCUUAUUUAUUAUUAGUUUUUUAAAUCAAAUUACAUCUUUAAAGGCCCUGUCUCCACAGACAGUCACAUUCCGAGGUCCUAGGAGUUAGGACCCCAACAUUGAAUUUGAGAUGUUGAUGUAAACAGAGGGACAGGUGCCACAUACGGUUGUAACUUACUUGGCAAGGCUGGAAGAAGGGAAGUGUACAAAGAGUGUUUUGAAGAGGAAAGGAGGAUUACAGUUAUUUAGUUAGCAUUUAUUACGUGUGGGCCAUGUCCUAGAAGCUCUGCUUAGCCUCACUUGGGCCUCCUUGAACCUCAAAUAGCCACCUUCUAAGGAGAGUUCUCUUCACCUUCUUGUGUAGUGUCCUCUUUGAUUUUUAAAUCUUACUCUGAUCGGUGGUGGUUGAGGCUGUUAAAGAACUUAACCUCCAAACGUUCAAACUCAUUUAGAAGUUCGGCUCUUCUCUUGAGUUCCUGACCCAUGGUAAAAACGUGUAUAAGCCUGUCAGCUGAGUCCUAAAUUAUUUCCCUGAAACGCCAUGAAAUACCCUGCAGCUUCUCCAAAGGACGGCCUGGUCCCACCUGGAUAUGAUGGAACCGCAGGUUGGCGCGGUCAGUUGUGCAAGGGGGAAGCUCGGGGUUGUGGGUGGGCCAGUGUUGCGGGGUGGGGCGAGCGUGCGAGAGAGCUCUGCGCCGGUUCUGAUUCAAUGACUAGAUGAGGUAUCUGCCUUGUAAGUUGAGACUCUGAGCAUCUUGUUGUCUUAACCCUUAGUCCUGUGUAAACACACGUAGGAUAUACCUGUAGGACCUGCUACUUGAUUUGUGGGGCCUGGUGCAAGAGGGAAAUGUUCAAAAAUGAUUAACCAGUGCAGGAUGGUGACAGCAGCAUGUUAAGUUGAACGUGAGGUCCUUCUGAGUGUGGAACCUGGGGGACUGGCCCCCAUCACAUGCCCACGAAGCCGGCCCUCGGAACGAGGAGGACUUUUCAGUUGACUAUUAUUUCCCCUCCUAGAUUACAUCAUUCGUCUUCAUUUGGAGAAUCGGCAUCAUUCAUUUCUAGUUAUCAUUAAACCUCUCUCAGC